GAAAGGGUGGCUGAGUGGUUAAAAGCGAUAGACUGUAAAUCUAUUGACAUUGUCUACGCAGGUUCGAAUCCUGCCCCUUUCA
rnacentral:tRNA from 1 species